rnacentral:rRNA from 1 species
GAGAGGCUCUCGGUUCGAACUCGGUGGUGGGAAAGGGAGUGACGGACGUGUCCUGUUUUGUAUGUACCGUGAUAAUAAGGAUCGGCUAACUCCGUGCCAGCAGCCGCGGUAAUACGGAGGAUCCGAGCGUUAUCCGGAUUUAUUGGGUUUAAAGGGUGCGUAGGUGGUUUGAUAAGUCAGCGGUGAAAGUUUGCAGCUUAACUGUAAAAAUGCCGUUGAAACUGUCGGACUUGAGUGUAAAUGAGGUAGGCGGAAUGCGUGGUGUAGCGGUGAAAUGCAUAGAUAUCACGCAGAACUCCGAUUGCGAAGGCAGCUUACUAAGCUACAACUGACACUGAAGCACGAAAGCGUGGGGAUCAAACAGGAUUAGAUACCCUGGUAGUCCACGCAGUAAACGAUGAUUACUAGCUGUUUGCGAUACACAGUAAGCGGCACAGCGAAAGCGUUAAGUAAUCCACCUGGGGAGUACGCCGGCAACGGUGAAACUCAAAGGAAUUGACGGAUG